rnacentral:rRNA from 1 species
UAGGGAAUCUUCGGCAAUGGACGAAAGUCUGACCGAGCAACGCCGCGUGAGUGAAGAAGGUUUUCGGAUCGUUAAACUCUGUUGUUAGAGAAGAACAAGGACGUUAGUAACUGAACGUCCCCUGACGGUAUCUAACCAGAAAGCCACGGCUAACUACGUGCCAGCAGCCGCGGUAAUACGUAGGUGUCUAUCGUUGUUCGGAUUUAUUGGGCGUAAAGCGAGCGCAUGCGGUUUCUUAAGUCUGAUGUGAAAGCCCCCGGCUCAACCGGGGAGGGUCAUUGGAAACUGGGAGACUUGAGUGCGGAAGAGGAGAGUGGAAUUCCAUGUGUAGCGGUGAAAUGCGUAGAUAUAUGGAGGAACACCUGUGGCGAAGGCGGCUCUCUGGUCUGUAACUGACGCUGAGGAUCGAAAGCGUGGGGAGCAAACAGG